rnacentral:rRNA from 1 species
UACGUAGGGUCCAAGCGUUGUCCGGAUUUACUGGGUUUAAAGGGUGCGUAGGCGGCUGUUUAAGUCGGGGAUGAAAUGCGGGGGCUCAACCUUACGCGCUGUCUUCGAAACUGGGCGGCUGGAGAUUAGAAGAGGUAGCUGGAAUAAGUGGUGUAGCGGUGAAAUGCGUAGAGAUCACUUAGAACACCGAUUGCGAAGGCAGGUUACUGGUCUAAAUCUGACGCUGAGGCACGAAGGCAUGGGGAUCAAACAGG